rnacentral:lncRNA from 1 species
AAGAACAUGUUGCUCAAAGUUUCAGAGAGGGGAAUAAGUGGAGAUCUUGAUUCAAAGUUGUGAAAGAUUUGGUAUGUUUUACUUCUUCAUCUUUCUCUUUUUGGUUUCUACUUUGCACAUGUUAAUUAAAAAAAUAGGAAAUAUUCGAAAAUGAAUUUUUAUAAUUUCAGAAAAAUUAAAACUCGAUCAAGGAACUUAUUUUCGAUAAUAUGCUUAUUCUGCAACUAUUUAUUUAUAGUUAGCUGUAACUGCUAAUAUAUUGAUCUAUCUUGGAUGGGCUCAUCUUCCGGAACCAACCAAUAUUAUGUCCCAUCCUUUGAUGAAAGACGGGACAACACAAUGAAAACAACGUCUUCUGGGACAGAUCAAUAUUCUGUCCCAGCCUUUGAUGAAAGUCGGGAUAAUACAACGAAGACAACAUCUUCUUGGAGAAGAAGUUAAGCCAACGCAGGGUAGAGGACCAAAGAAGGAAACAAAAAAAUAUUCAAUUGCUAUUACAAAUCAGAAUUAAGGAACUCAUUUUCAAAGAAACUGUUUUCAUGUCUAUAAAUAUAUUGAGCUAAUCAAAAUAAUGUCUAGCAACUAUUGUUGAGAAGUAAUAGCUCUUUACUAGAGCUAGCCAAUGUAACUUGAAAAAAUAUAGAGAGAGCUCAUUGAAUCUUCUUUUUAUCUUUUAUUUUAAUCCUCGAAAUUUGAUUUGAAUGUUAUCUAUCUAUUAUUCAAAUAAUAUCUCUUUUACUUGUGUUAAU